rnacentral:lncRNA from 1 species
GUUUUUCAUUACUAUUUCUCAUUUCCCCCUCACGGAAAGCUUCCAAAAGCGGAAGCGUCGACGAGAUGGAGAUGGAGGUUUACUACCCGAUGAUUGCAAUCUCGAACAACCAGUGAACGGUGAUCAGGGUUGAUCAAAGAGUCAUUCUUGGAAUUUGCUUAUUGGAUAACAAGAUCAUGACAACACUCGUAAAGGCUUGUGAUACGACAAGAGGAAUUAAUCCUCAUAUGCAUUUGAAACAGACCUGUUGCUUUUAGACAAAAGUUCAGAAGCUUGCUCCUAGCAGGUGUUUGCACUGGCAAGUUGACACAGAAGCAAUGAAGCCCUCGACAAAGGUAGUACCAAGGAAGUUAUUAACAGAUUCUUGCCUAUAAGAAUUUCAAAGUUCGGGAUUUUGGUGCUUGUUCAACGCUUCUUAAGGUAAUCAUGUAACUUGGAGCAAUAAUUAAUCUAACUUGGAGCACUAAUGAAUCGAAACAAGCCAAUGACAAAACUGAGGAAGACGGAAAAUGGGAAGAACUCAUAAUACCCGCAACAAACCCAUGAAGACAAUGACUUAUAAGUAUUAUGUUAUCUUGGUUGUUUUUUUUAAUUUGUGUUCUAGAACUCACAAGUUAUAGAUCUUUAUAUUUUUUAUUUGUUCACAUGUAUUAUUCUAUCUAAGCACAUUUCCUACGUAAUUUGUGAAUUCAUAGAAAUUUGUAAAUUUUUUUGGUAUCAUU